CCGGCCUUAGAGUCGGGUUGUUUGGGAAUGCAGCCCAAAGUGGGUGGUAAACUCCAUCCAAGGCUAAAUACUAGCACGAAUCCGAUAGCGAACAAGUACCGUGAGGGAAAGUUGAAAAGUACUUUGAAGAGAGAGUAAACAGUACGUGAAACCGCAUGCAGGUAAACGGGUGGCGUCAAGCUGUAAGCCCAGAGGAUUCAGUCGGUUAGGAUGUAGUGUAUGCGCCUGGCGCAUCGAGAGGUCAGAGUAAGAUUGGGUAAUCUGCUGGUAAACAGCAGGCUCAGCCGCAAGGUUGGGAUAUGUGUACCGGGUGGUUGCCGGAGCAUGUUACCCGUCUGUUGGACCACCUAGCCGGUGCACUUCCUCUGUUUGGUGAACACCACGACCGGUGGUAUUGCCAGUCUGCUAUAGUCAAGUCGUGUUCAGCUGGUACUUGUGCUAGUUGGAUUGCGAUGAUCACAGGCAAAUUCGGUGAACGGUGUAGAGGUGUUUCGGCACUUUUGCAUGUUAUCGGACACUGGUUGUCAACGGGUCUGUUUAGUGAUUGUUGUAGUCGUCGCUAGAUGGCCUGGUGGAUUAUGGUGGUAAGAAUAACUGUGCAAGGCACCGGAGUUAUCGGUCUCUAAUGCAGCCUACAUGCACGCUACAAGUGAACAUGGGGUGUUGUUGCAGCCUGCCUGUUAUUGGGUCUGAUUGUCGUGUUGCCUGCGCAAAGUGGGCCCGGCAGUGGCCUGGUGCAGGAUGGUGUUGUGGAUGGCAUCUCGUGUGUAGGUUGCUGUGGACCAAACAGUCAGUGGUGUAGUGGUAGACGAGCUACCCGACCCGUCUUGAAACACGGACCAAGGAGUUUAACAUGUGUGCAAGUCAUGGGGUCUUACGAAACCCAAAGGCGCAGUGAAAGUGAAGCUUCGACUUGUUCUCGGAGUGUGGUGAGAUCCUACCGUUACUCGCAUGCUGUCAGCACCAGGCAAAGAGCGGUGGGCGCAUCACCGGCCCGUCCCAUGAUGUGGUCGUUGGUUGGCUGGAGUGGUUGCUUCGGUGGCUGCCUCAGUUGCCAGCGCAUCAUCGGGGCGGAGCAUGAGCACACAUGUUGAGACCCGAAAGAUGGUGAACUAUGCUUGCGUAGGUUGAAGCCAGAGGAAACUCUGGUGGNNNNCCGCAGCGAUUCUGACGUGCAAAUCGAUCGUCAAACGUGAGUAUAGGGGCGAAAGA
rnacentral:rRNA from 1 species